UUAAAUUGAAGAGUUUGAUCAUGGCUCAGAUUGAACGCUGGCGGCAGGCCUAACACAUGCAAGUCGAACGGUAACAGGAAGCAGCUUGCUGCUUUGCUGACGAGUGGCGGACGGGUGAGUAAUGUCUGGGAAACUGCCUGAUGGAGGGGGAUAACUACUGGAAACGGUAGCUAAUACCGCAUAACGUCGCAAGACCAAAGAGGGGGACCUUAGGGCCUCUUGCCAUCGGAUGUGCCCAGAUGGGAUUAGCUAGUAGGUGGGGUAAAGGCUCACCUAGGCGACGAUCCCUAGCUGGUCUGAGAGGAUGACCAGCCACACUGGAACUGAGACACGGUCCAGACUCCUACGGGAGGCAGCAGUGGGGAAUAUUGCACAAUGGGCGCAAGCCUGAUGCAGCCAUGCCGCGUGUAUGAAGAAGGCCUUCGGGUUGUAAAGUACUUUCAGCGGGGAGGAAGGGAGUAAAGUUAAUACCUUUGCUCAUUGACGUUACCCGCAGAAGAAGCACCGGCUAACUCCGUGCCAGCAGCCGCGGUAAUACGGAGGGUGCAAGCGUUAAUCGGAAUUACUGGGCGUAAAGCGCACGCAGGCGGUUUGUUAAGUCAGAUGUGAAAUCCCCGGGCUCAACCUGGGAACUGCAUCUGAUACUGGCAAGCUUGAGUCUCGUAGAGGGGGGUAGAAUUCCAGGUGUAGCGGUGAAAUGCGUAGAGAUCUGGAGGAAUACCGGUGGCGAAGGCGGCCCCCUGGACGAAGACUGACGCUCAGGUGCGAAAGCGUGGGGAGCAAACAGGAUUAGAUACCCUGGUAGUCCACGCCGUAAACGAUGUCGACUUGGAGGUUGUGCCCUUGAGGCGUGGCUUCCGGAGCUAACGCGUUAAGUCGACCGCCUGGGGAGUACGGCCGCAAGGUUAAAACUCAAAUGAAUUGACGGGGGCCCGCACAAGCGGUGGAGCAUGUGGUUUAAUUCGAUGCAACGCGAAGAACCUUACCUGGUCUUGACAUCCACGGAAGUUUUCAGAGAUGAGAAUGUGCCUUCGGGAACCGUGAGACAGGUGCUGCAUGGCUGUCGUCAGCUCGUGUUGUGAAAUGUUGGGUUAAGUCCCGCAACGAGCGCAACCCUUAUCCUUUGUUGCCAGCGGUCCGGCCGGGAACUCAAAGGAGACUGCCAGUGAUAAACUGGAGGAAGGUGGGGAUGACGUCAAGUCAUCAUGGCCCUUACGACCAGGGCUACACACGUGCUACAAUGGCGCAUACAAAGAGAAGCGACCUCGCGAGAGCAAGCGGACCUCAUAAAGUGCGUCGUAGUCCGGAUUGGAGUCUGCAACUCGACUCCAUGAAGUCGGAAUCGCUAGUAAUCGUGGAUCAGAAUGCCACGGUGAAUACGUUCCCGGGCCUUGUACACACCGCCCGUCACACCAUGGGAGUGGGUUGCAAAAGAAGUAGGUAGCUUAACCUUCGGGAGGGCGCUUACCACUUUGUGAUUCAUGACUGGGGUGAAGUCGUAACAAGGUAACCGUAGGGGAACCUGCGGUUGGAUCACCUCCUUACCUUAAAGAAGC
rnacentral:rRNA from 1 species